GAUGAACGCUGGCGGCGUGCCUAAUACAUGCAAGUCGAGCGAAUGGAUUAAGAGCUUGCUCUUAUGAAGCUAGCAGCGGACGGGUGAGUAACACGUGGGUAACCUGCCCAUAAGACUGGGAUAACUCCGGGAAACCGGGGCUAAUACCGGAUAACAUUUUGAACCGCAUGGUUCGAAAUUGAAAGGCGGAUUCGGCUGUCACAUAUGGAUGGACCCGCGUCGCAUUAGCUAGUUGGUGAGGUAACGGGUCACCGAGGCCACGAUGCGUAGCCGACCUGAGAGGGUGAUCGGCCACACUGGGACUGAGACACGGCCCAGACUCCUACGGGAGGCAGCAGUAGGGAAUCUUCCGCAAUGGACGAAAGUCUGACGGAGCAACGCCGCGUGAGUGAUGAAGGCUUUCGGGUCGUAAAACUCUGUUGUUAGGGAAGAACAAGUGCUAGUUGAAUAAGCUGGCACCUUGACGGUACCUAACCAGAAAGCCACGGCUAACUACGUGCCAGCCGCCGCCGUAA
rnacentral:rRNA from 1 species